rnacentral:rRNA from 1 species
GGAUGCGAUCAUACCAGCACUAAAGCAUCGGAUCCCAUCAGAACUCCGAAGUUAAGCGUGCUUGGGCGAGGGUAGUACUAGGAUGGGUGACCUCCUGAGAAGUCCUCGUGUUGCAUUCC